rnacentral:rRNA from 1 species
GAUGAACGCUGGCGGCGUGCCUAAUACAUGCAAGUCGAGCGAACGGACGAGAAGCUUGCUUCUCUGAUGUUAGCGGCGGACGGGUGAGUAACACGUGGAUAACCUACCUAUAAGACUGGGAUAACUUCGGGAAACCGGAGCUAAUACCGGAUGAUAUUUUGAACCGCAUGGUUCAAAAGUGAAAGACGGUCUUGCUGUCACUUAUAGAUGGAUCCGCGCUGCAUUAGCUAGUUGGUAAGGUAACGGCUUACCAAGGCAACGAUGCAUAGCCGACCUGAGAGGGUGAUCGGCCACACUGGAACUGAGACACGGUCCAGACUCCUACGGGAGGCAGCAGUAGGGAAUCUUCCGCAAUGGGCGAAAGCCUGACGGAGCAACGCCGCGUGAGUGAUGAAGGUCUUCGGAUCGUAAAACUCUGUUAUUAGGGGAGAACAUAUGUGUAAGUAGCUGUGCACAUCUUGACGGUACCUAAUCAGAAAGCCACGGCUAACUACGUG